AAAUGCAGAACUUUAUAUUUUAGUUAAUUUUAUGACUUUCACAAAAAAACACAGUUUGACACCUGGCAGCUGAAGGUCUGGAACAAUAUCUUUACCACAUGGAUUUAUAACUUCUUCAAUGUUUAGAUCUUCUCUUGUAGCUGUGCUUCAGCAGUUUUUAAUGGUGUAAUCGAUGAAAGAGAUAAACUAAGUGCAGAAAAAUGCAGCAUUGAUUUUGUGAUAGACUUUAUUCUUCCCAUUCCAACAGAUUAUGUCUGCUCAUGGGUAGAGCAGGUCAAGAACUUUGUGGGAAAAUUGAUCCUAUUGGAAUGUGCUGGUUAACAGGAACAGAAAGGAGUCACGAAAAUAGGCCUGUCCUGCAAAACUUGUUUUUUCUGGCAUUUCACCCUGAUGAGCCACUUGAGCCUCCAGCAUUGCACAGGGAACCUCAGGGGUUCACAGCUUGCGUGGUGACAGCUGAGAAAGGUAAAGGGACACAUUUAACUUCACACGCAGGUAGGUCCAAGGGCCAUUUCUCAUCCAGGAAACAUCAAAACACUGCUGCCAGCCUCAAGCACGACCUCCUUAUUUCUGUUUAGUGGGAAAUAAAAAUGAUUUCAAACUGAAUUGGCACAAAAAUGAAUCUCCAAGUAUUAAAAAGUUGCUUAAAUCAGAGGCUGAGAGAUGGUUUAUCGGUUUGUUUAUAGUCCAAGCCUAUGGAGGCUGAAGGCAAACAGAGCAGGAGUUGGGCAAUGAGCUGUUGUGGCAGCAGCAGUUGGAGCUGGACUAAAAGAUUAUAAUUUUGGAGAGUUUUAAAUAUUAGGAAGUGGAGUUUGUUAUCUUUGAGAGUGAACUUUAUCUCCCUGGACAGGCAGCACUGAGCAUGAACAACUGCCUGCAGUGCCCUGGAUUUAGGGGGGGUUGCACAGCCCCAUCCUUGUGCCCCAUGAGGAAGAAAAGUCACGGCAAAACCACCCCAGUGCUGCGGAGGGCCUGGCCAGUGGGUCUGACUGGAUGUCAUCCUCACACCCUGUGGCAUGAGGGGCUCUUCCACGGCACUGUCCUUCCAUCCCACGCGGGACUUGAGGGGCACAGGGUGAGCUGGCUCUCUAAGCUGUGGAGUUAUCUCACUCUGUAUAAGAAGUUUUGCUAAUUAUGUAUGUUCAGACAGUAAGCUGAGGGUGGCUGUCACUUAUUUACUGGUUUAAAGAUGCAUUUUGGAGACCCUGAGAGAAAACUGACUGCUCUGACUAGCAGGAGCCCCACGGUCAGUAAUAGGAUUUGAAAGUCAUCCAUCUCCUCAUGAGUACUGAGUGUGCCACUGGCUCCUUCCCUCCGCUCCAGCUUCCUGGAUGUGCUCUCAGCAUGAAUAAAUGAUGGGAACAAAAAGGUGAGAAUAACAACAUCAGAAAAAAUGGAGGAGGAAAACUAACUGAGACCCAUAAGGAAGAAAAAUAAAGGAAGAGAGGAAUUAGUUUGUUCCAAAUGUUGCACCAGCGUUGUUGUGUUUUUUUGUAAAAAAACUUGCUUUUACGUAUUUCUGCAGGAUAAGGUCUCUGGGGGAGGCGAAGAUGCAGAGCCAGUGCUGUGGAAUAAUUGGAGGCAGAGAGAUGGGAUGCAGGAGACCGGGAAACACUGUCUGGAUGAUGUGCUCGGGUUAUCAGUGCAGGCGGUUCCAGUGGAGGGGGAAAAUGCGUGAGUGAAUGAAUGAAUGAAUGAAUGUCAUUUGCCAUUUGCCCUGGGGAUGAAACAUUAAAGUACAGACCAGCAGUAGAUUCCCCCAGGCAGAACCUGUCUCCUUCCCCCUCCACGUGCUCUCCUGUUUCCAGACGGGGCAGUUCUCAGUAAUGACCCUGCAGCCCCUUCUGCCUCAGUUACCUGGGCCAGGAUGGGACAUUCUGCUCUGAUUAAUGUGCCAAAUGAUUCUUGCUCUCACUACAAUGAAAUGUGACCCCUGCUUACCCUGGAACGGGACGUUUUUGUCACCUCUCCCUUCUCUCCUCUAACAGCAAUAUCUCUCUGCUACCUGCUGGAUAAUGUGGAUGUCCGUUCACAUUCCGGCUACAGUGCAAUGACUUGUGCUUGACAGAUCUCCUUGUGUCAUAGAUCAUCCAGGGUAAAAUUUACACAGCCUUGGAUUAAAAGCCAUUAGGCAGAAGACUUACAUUCCGUGUGGUUUCAGAUGUAUUUGAAGGAAUAUUGUGGAAAACAUGGAACUGAGUGGAGAGAGACUACAAAAAUGAGACUGGUUUCACCACAGUGAGCAAAUGACUUCAGACAUCCGUGGAUUGACUCACUCAGUUGGCAAAACCAGGCAAACACAGCCUGUGAUGGUUCUGCUGACAGAGAACAAUUUCAGCCCCAUCUGUUCAAGCAGCGAGAGACCUUUCUGAUCACUCCGGAAGUCAGCAAGAGAAUUUUUCUCUCAGCUUUCCAGUAGCUCUUCCUCAAAUAUGAUUAAUCUGGGCUUGAUUCUUUGGCUACUUUCCUCGCUUACUCCAUCAUGGGAUUGAAACACAUUUAUUGCAGUAUUGGGUUUUCCAGGGAAGAAAGUCCAGAAGGAGGUUUGGAAAUAGCCACAGAAAGUCCUAAUUGGGGUGGUGGGCCAGGAUUUGGCAGCAGAGCAGAACAGACAAAGCCAAAACACCUUUGAGCAACAGGUCUUUGGUCUCACCAGGAGAAGGUUGAUCUGCCCUGUAAUGGGCCACUAUGGCUGAACUCUGGAGCUUUAAUCAGGUGGUCUGGCCCUUCAAUAGCACACUUAGGGUUGGGUUUCUCUUCCUCCUCUUUUUUUCCCCUCCUCCUUUUUUUUCCCCUCCUCCUCCCUUUUUUCCCUCCUCUCUUUUCCCUCCUCUUUUUUUCCUCCUCUUUUCUUUUUGUUCUUUUCUUUCCACGUAUCAGGCCCCACACAGCCCAGUUCCCUGCACCAGUGGCUCUGCCACACAGGUCCCUUCCAGCCUCCCUCAGAGAUGGGCCCAGCCAAGGCUCCUGCUCUGCCCACGGGGUGUUAUGGGAGGACCCUGCGGUGCCAGUUGGUUGCAAUUUUCAUCAGUUCUCCUUAUCAUCGUGCUAUUAAUUGCUUUAAUGAUGCAUUCAUUUAGAUCGAAAAUAUGAUAUCAGUGAAAUUUAAUUUAAAAAAUCGAUAACUCAUUAACACAUUAUUGCUACACCUACAUGUGUCACCAUAUUAAUCUCCUGUGUUGGAAAAGCAGUUGGCUUCAGCUCUGUGUCCAUAGAUCUUUGUUAGAAGGGAGUUGUUGGUAGGAUAAUCGUGAAAGGAGAGUUAUUGAGGCACCACUUUCUUCCGAGACUGUGGCCCCAGUACAUAUGGAUUCUUCUCUUUGGGCCAGGCAAGGCUGAAGAGUACCCAGUCCGUGGGAAAUAAUCAGCCAUGAAACUUUUAACUAGCAUCCACAGUUCUGGGACACAGCCCAGGAAUUCCAUCAGUAAAGCAGCACACCUGGAUAUUAGUCCUGUUCCUGCUGUUGUAUCUCAAUAACCAACAUCGGCUUCGGCUCAAUGUCUGCCUGAUUCUGCUCUGGCACCAAGGGACCGACUGAGAUGUGUCAGAUGGUGUGACUGAAGCGGGACAGAUGGGAGAAGGAGCAACAGUGACUACUGGAAACCAUCCAAAUGCUUAAAUGAGAAGUGAGCUGGAGAAAGAACGUUUCUGAAAAUGCAUUUAUUCCUUGGUGACUGUCCAGCUCCAGUCCUACUACGACCAAUGCCACAGGUGGCCUCUCCAGGUGUCUCCUCCAUCCCCUUAGAGCUCUCUUCUAAAGAACCAGUGUGUUAUGGACAAGAUACAACACAAGUUUUCAAACCAAAACACCUAUUUGGAAGAUGACAGUUAAAAAUCCAUUUGUAAUGAAAAGGACUGAUUUAAGAUUCCCGUGGGAAAGGAGAAAUUCAGCUUGAAUUCUAAUUUCAGUGGAUAAGCACAAGGACCUACUUCUGCACAUACUGAACUUGAGCCAGGCCCCGGCUGUGCAGGGGGAGAGCACUCCAGUAAAUCUUUAAGUCAUUCCAGGUCAGGAUGGAGAACACUGAGCACCUGAGAAAAGUGGGAGCUGAUGCCAGUGCCCAGUGCUUCCUAAUGCCCUGCCUACUUCUCUGGCAGCUGCCCCAGCUUUCCUCCAGGGACCUUCUUCCUUCUUCGUGGUUACCGAAUUCAGUUCAACAGCUCAGAUGUCAUCAGCUGAGAAGAGGGAAGGGAAAACUCAAAGUCCACAAAGGGCAAAAAGAAGUAUAAAAGGUUCAGUGGGCUGAGUGGCCCCAUGGGCAGUGCCUGCGUCUGCUUGGCUGUCCCAGGACAUGAAGGAUGUUGUCACUGCAGGAUUUGGAUAGAAUUCCUCUGGAAUGCUUUGUACAGGAAUGCCCUCUGUGCCUGGAGAAGUCCAUCGUGCAUCAACGGAGAGCUGCUGAGUGCUGGGGCAGAGGAGAUGACGAUGUGCUGCUGAGGGUGAACGGAUCCAGGCGUGCAGGUGACACCAUUACCCCCCAUCAGCAUUGACCCCAGAGUUUCUGCAUUUCAGUUACAGUAUUUAAAGUUGAAAUUGCUUUUGUGAUGAGCACAGUAUCCCAAGAGAAGGCAGCAGGACAACAGGCAGCGUUUCUUCCCUUGCGCCAAGAACCCAAAUGAGAAAGCAGGUGCUGCCACAGCGGCUGCGCAGGGAGGGUGAGCAGCAGUUGGCAAAGCACAGAUUCCUCAGAAGCAGAAUAAAAAAUCACAGGCAUCCAAAAUGCCACUGGGAAAAGCUGGAAAAGCACUGUUUUCUUUAAGAACAAGACAAUUUUACCACUGGGUUUUCCAAUAACUCGUGUGUUGGGCUGUUGUUCCUUGUUGUUCCUCUCAGAAAGGACAAGCUGCUGCCUGGCACUAUCUGCUCAGGCACAGGGACAUUAUCUUGCCUUGCAGCCUUUAUGGCAUUUUCCUGGAGCAGAUUAAUUAACAAGGGCUAGUUCCUCCCUGUUAUUUACAUAUAUAACAAGUUUGUUUCCUCUCUGCAUUCUUUGUCCCAAAUUUAACCAUGUGUGGUUGUAGGCUAGUGGCUGGCAGUGGUGUCCAGAGCCAUGACCAGGUGGUGGGAAGGGCCAGAAAUAACCAAAUGGUGGGUAAUUCAGUACAAAAUCAUUUUCUCGUGGUCAACAUGCCAUUAAGUUCUUAAGUUUAAAGUGCUUGGAAAAACUGCAAUAAACUCAGUUAAAAUGAUGGUUAUCUCACUAGAAAGUUAUUAGCUAUUGUUUCCCCCCACCCCGGGUUGAUUUUAUCAAAAAAGUUUUAUGCUUUCAUAAACUGGGAUUGUUCUUAUACCUCACAAGAACUAGAAAUGUUUUUUGGUUGAUUUUCAUCGUUAUUUAGGUCAAGACUUUCAGUCAAGCACAACUGUUGUGAAGCCCAGGGUGUGACUUGGGAUUAACCCUUUUCCUCCUCAACUCACAGUAGCUGCUGUUCCCACCCCAGGAGCCCUCGGCCAGCCUGGACCUGCUCCAGAAGCAUGGAAACCAGUUCAGCCAGACAUUGCUGCAAGGCAGUCCAGAAAUAUCCCAUGGACAGAAGGGAUAAGGGCAAGGUUACUAUUUGGAGAGUUUGGACUUCUUCCCAUCUGUUGCCAAGCAGCUUUGAGCAACCCCUCGCAGGACCCACGUUUUGAUACCCCGUGGUUUCAGACUGUGCCUCAGUGCUCAAGGGACCAGGCAAGGAAAGGAACACAGAAAGGGAGGCUGUUUGGUGGUCCCUCGCUCCCCCAUAAGAAACAUCCAGCAGUCCAGUAGAAAUACAAAGUAAUGACGACAGAAGAACUGGAAAUCUCUUCAAAGGCAAACUCGUAUCUUGAGAAACAUGAGGAAAAAUGUUACAAAGGAAAUAUGAAAGGCUCAAGAAGGAUUUUCUGAGGCACUUUGUUACCGAAGUUGUUACCACCCCCCCGCAGAGACAAUCAAGACUAAUGGGGACAUUAGCACAGCCCAGGACUACACAUCAAAAGAGUCCCUGGAGCAAAUAACACCCAGUAACUGGAGCAUCGCUGGCACCGCGCUCCGAACCACCCCCCUCUGCCUCAGAAAUGAGUAAAAGGGUCGUAAACAGCAGAGAGAAAAUUUUUGCCUGGUGACUGCAAAUAAGCACCCAGCAGAGCUGUUAAAAGUUGCUUGCUGAAGAGAAAAAUAUGAUUCUUCCAGUUUUAUGGGCCAUGUUCAGAUAGCUCUUACUCCUGCGCCAUAAAUCCAAUUUUCACAUAGAUUAAAUGGAAAGGCAGCAGAGGCUCUGCUGAAUAAUGCACAGAUUGUCAUGGACGUGCGGCGUGAGGUGCCCAAAUCGAUCCUCCCCCACGCUCAUGCGUGGCUCCAGCAAUGCUGCAGUGCUCCCACCUUGGUGCCUGACUUCAGUGAUACCUCUGAACACGAGGAGUACUACUGGUAUCCUCACAGACCGUCACCUGUGGUCCUCCUGGGAUCAUUUAUCUAAAUUUUAAAACUUAAAAAAAAAAAUUAUGAUAGAGUUUAAGCUAAGAAGAGGUGGCUUGCGGAAUACUCGAUUGCUCUAGAAGGAUGCUCAGAGGAGCUGCAUCGGGGUACGGCCACGGCGGUGCCCAAGGGAGGAGGAAGGCAGAUAAAUGCAGCUCAAGUGUGGCAUUUGUCAUCCAUUUAGUGCGUCUGCACCGCUGGCAGCAGCUCUCAGUGUGCUGUGGUGGAGUCACCAUCCCUGGAAGUGUUCAGAAAAGGAGUAGACGUGGCACUUGGUGAUGUGAUUUGACUGACAAGGUGGAGAUUGGUCAAAGGUUGGGCAUAAUGAUCUUGGAACUCUUUUCCAACCUCAGCGAUUCUGGGAUUCUAUGCUUGAGAUUAGCUGUUGUGAGAAGCUGAAGCUGCUCCCUGGAGCAGUGGCUGCACCCGUGGGAAACUGCUGGUAUCACAAAAAGUGUUUUUUCCAGGUGUGGCAUUAAACACUGGUUCCCUUCUCCUAAAA